rnacentral:rRNA from 1 species
GAUGAACGCUAGCGGCAGGCCUAAUACAUGCAAGUCGAGGGAGAAUGUUGGAUUCGUCUGACAUGAAACCGGCGCACGGGUGCGUAACACGUAUGCAACCUACCUUUAACUGGGGUAUAGCUCAGAGAAAUCUGAAUUAAUCCCCCAUAAGACUACGACAUGGCAUCAUGAUGUAGUUAAAGCUCCGGCGGUUAAGGAUGGGCAUGCGGUACAUUAGCUAGUUGGUGAGGUGAUGGCUCACCAAGGCUACGAUGUAUAGGGGGUCUGAGAGGAUGAUCCCCCACACUGUUACUGAGACACGGACCAGACUCCUACGGGAGGCAGCAGUAGGGAAUAUUGGUCAAUGGACGCAAGUCUGAACCAGCCAUGCCGCGUGAAGGAUGAAGGCCCUAUGGGUCGUAAACUUCUUUUAUUAGGGAAGAAAAAACGGGAUGCGUCCUGUACUGACGGUACUUAAUGAAUAAGGAUCGGCUAACUUCGUGCCAGCCGCCGCAGUAA